GCAGGAUCUUCACAUCAUCGUUACUUUUUGCGGAUGUAAAGUCUGAUAAGUCACUGAAAGAAAAAGCUCUUUCGGAACAUGGUCGGGAUAAAUACUUAUCUGGUCCUUCAAGAUAACUCCUGGAUACCAUUUCUGCUAUCUCAGAUUCACAAACUACCCUCCCAAUGUCAUUGGUUCUCUCUUUGAUUCCAAAAUAGGUUUCAGAUCCUUCCUUUUCUGAAUCAGAAUUCUCUGGAGAAUGGGAAGCCACCAUCAAGGAUUCUUUAACAAGCCCAUGCCUAGCAAUACUAUACCGUAUAAGGAUCCCUAUCAA
rnacentral:misc_RNA from 1 species